CACAAGCGGUGGAGCAGUGUGGUUUAAUUCGAUGCAACGCGAAGAACCUUACCUGGGCUUGACAUCUGGGAAUCUCUAGAAAUAGGAGAGUGCCUUUCGGGAGCCCCAAGACAGGUGCUGCAUGGCUGUCGUCAGCUCGUGUCGUGAGAUGUUGGGUUAAGUCCCGCAACGAGCGCAACCCUUGUCUUUAAUUGCCAUCAUUUAGUUGGGCACUCUAAAGGAACCGCCUCGGUCAACGGGGAGGAAGGUGGGGAUGACGUCAAGUCCUCAUGGCCUUUAUGCCCAGGGCUACACACGUGCUACAAUGGCCAGUACAAAGGGCUGCAAACCCGCGAGGGUCAGCAAAUCCCAAAAACCUGGCCUCAGUUCGGAUUGGAGUCUGCAACCCGACUCCAUGAAGUUGGAAUCGCUAGUAAUCGCAGAUCAGCGUGCUGCGGUGAAUACGUUCCCGGGCCUU
rnacentral:rRNA from 1 species